GCGGGUGUAGCUCAAUGGUAGAGUUCUGGCCUUCCAAGCCAGCUGUGAGGGUUCGAUCCCCUUCACCCGCU
rfam:Peptostreptococcus stomatis DSM 17678 contig00054, whole genome shotgun sequence.